AUCUUGCAUAACUUGUUUAGCCUGUCCAAUUAUUCAGGGAUUAUGCUUAUUGAGCCCCUGUGCAGGGAAAUUCGAACUGACCUAUGAACCUCCAUCUUGCCACUGUUGCUAAGUUACCUGCUGAUGUCUCAGCACCCAAAUCCCUUGUCCCCAAUGCCCUAUAUAUUUGAUACUCAUUCCUUGAAUAAGGAGAGACUUGAUUGGAAUUCCUCAACUUGUCUCCACUCUUUGUGUCUCUUGCUCCCUUUUCAUCCCCACUCCCCCUCUAGGGUCUCCGUGGAUUUACCUGCAGGCCGGGUCAAGUGAUGCCCAGCGUGGGGCCUGAGAAUGGGGGAAUUAGUGAGGGAUGCUGUUCGUGGGGCCAAAGUAGAAAAAGGAAAAAGAAAAUAGAGGACUGAUGUGGGAGCCUGCCACGCUGCUGAACCUCGGUAAGUGAAUAGUGAUUAUGGGACAAGAAAUUAGCCAAAGUUUAGAAAAGCUUUAAAGAUACAAAGGGUAAGGAAAAAAAAAUUGUGUCCAUUAGGACAAGAAAUGAGCCAAUGUGAGAUUUUUGUUAAAAGUUUAAGAAAGGCUUUAAAGACAUGGAGGAUAAAGAAAAAAAUUAAUUAAGCAAUUGUCCAUUAGGGCUAAACUUUAACUCAGGAGCAAAGUGACCUGGUAGCCACGCGCCCCUCCCCCAUACUGUGAGGGCCAUAUAGUUCUGGCUUCAGCGUGUUUAACUUUAGAUACUAGGAAGGAAUUAAGAAACCAAACUGAACUUUUAAAACAACAGGUUAAACUGAAAAAAGAAUGUCAGGAUUUGAUAGCUCAAUUAGAAAGACUAAAAAUUCGCAAAACUUAAAAAUGAAAAGUGAAACUAACCCCAGAGUUUCCUCCAGGAUUUCUCCUGGUCAGCGACCCUCACUGAGAGGCAUGAUUUCUAAAUUUACCCCUCUGGCCUGAUCCAAUAUUAAAGCUAGAUGAUAUGGAGGCUUUCCCUGUGAUGGAAAUGAGGGACACAGAGGGCUGAGUUAUUUGCGACUACUCUGGUUUCAAUUUCAAACUGAAUAGAGAAUUAAAAACCGUGGUUACACAGUAGGAAGACACAGCCGCAUAUACUCUUGCUGUUUUAAAUUCUCUGGCUGAUGGCUGGCUCACACCUACAGAUUGGCAAGGAUUGGCCUGAGUGACUUUAUCGGAUGGGGAUUAUCUUUUGUGGAAAUUGGAAUAUAUAGAAAAUUGCAAAGAGACUGCCAGGCACAAUAUGCAAGCCAGCAAUGGGUGAGACUUUGAUAUGUUAAUAGGGGAGGAUGCCUAUGCCAACAGAGAGGCCCAAAAGCAAUUUAAGGGUGAUAUGUGUUCCUCUCAAGCAUUAAGCAAGGGCUGGGAUUUAGCUCAGUGACAUAAGCGACAUAAGCAUCUGCCUGCCAAGUGUGAGGUUGUGAGUUUAGUCCCCAAGGCUGGAGAUUUAACUCAGUGGCACAGGUGCCUGCCUGAGAAAUAAAAGGCUGUGAGUUCGAUCCCUGGUACCAUUGACAUUGAAACUGCUUGUCAACAAGGCCUUGCUAUGGCUGCCGCCUUGCAAGGGUUUACAGUUAUCUCAAAAAAAAAAAAAAAGUUUUACCUGUGGAGAUAAAUUGGUCAUUUUGCAAAGAACUACAAAAAAGAUUCCAGAGAUAGAAUUCCAAUGUCAAGUACUUUGACUCAUUUAACUGAUCAGAGUGAUAUUGGUCUAGUCUCUUAGGUUUAAUUUCAGCAUAUGUAAGGAUGGAGACAGCUGCUGAGAGGAAAACGAGAGACAUUAUGGUACUUAGUAUUGUCUCCCCUAAUGUCAGAUCUUAAAGCACUGAGGAGCCUAUAAUGAUUUGAUUAGUUCUAUAAUAUGCAGUGUGUAUUUUUAAUGUGCGUAAAGAUGGGGACAACUGUUUAGAGGAAACUAGAGACAAUUAGAUGAACAGUGAAGAUCUCCAGUGGACUUGCUUUGAAAUCUGUAUUUCUUUAAAUUGUUUUUUUUAACUGUUUUGUUCUGUUUUGAUAUGUUUGGUUUUGCCCUCUUUGAGAUAAAAAACAAGUGUGUAGGACUGAUAACCAUAUUACUAAGUUUUUGUUGGAUCAUUCAUCAGAACUGUUGCCAGUGUCACUAUUUGAAUGUCACUUUACAUACUUUAAUUUUGUAACCUGAAGAACUAUUUCUAAGAUGACAAUAUGUAACUUAUCAACUGGUGAUUUCUUACCGUUUAUUUUUCUGUAAUUCUGUAUUAAGAUCACUAGAGAGCAAGCCAGACAGAUAGUAAAAAACUGCCCCUCUUGUGCCAUGCACCUCCCAGUUCUACACUUUGGGAUUAAUCCUAGAGAACUUAUCCCCAAUGCAUUAUGGCAAAUGGAUGUCACCCACAUUCCUGAGUUUGGCAAUCUUAAAUAUGUUCAUAUAACUAUAGAUACCUUUAGUGGUUUCAUUUAUACCUCUCCCCAGACUGGCAAAGCUACCAAACAUGUUAUUAGCCACAUGUUAAUUACCUUAUCAGUUUUAGGAUGCCCACAACAAUUAAAGACUGAUAAUGGUCCAAGUUAUGCUAGUUCUGCCUUUGCUCAUUUCUGUCAGUAUCUUAAUAGUCAUCAUAUAAAAGGCAUACCUUAUAACCCUCAAGGUCAAGGCAUAGUUGAAAGGGCACAUUUCUCCCUAAAACUCACUGUUGAUAAAAUAAAAAAGGGGGAAUGGUACCCCACAAAGGGGACACCUAAAAAUAUUCUAUUUCAUGCCUUAGUCAUCCUUAAUUUUUUAAAUUUGGAUGCUGCUGGACAGUCAGCAGCCACACGUUUUUGGCAUACUGAAAUACAAAAGCAAUUUGCUUCUGUACUAUGGAGAGACCCCCUGACUAACCAUGGCAUGGUCCAGGCCCAGUCCUUAUCUGGGGACGAGGAUCAGUAUGCAUUUACUCUAAAGAGAUGAAAUCUGCGAGAUGGCUGCCAGAAUGAUUGGUUAAACAAAUAGAUCAAAUACAACAAAUAGAGGAUAAUGUUACAGAUGACUCCAGGGACUAAAAAUGACCCCUGAGAGAAUUUUUUCACAGCUUUUGUUUUUCAGAUGGUGGAACCAACAGCCUGGAUCCUGCCUCUCAGGAUUAUGAUGACUAAGUUGAUGGCUUUUGUCAAUCAACAGGUGGAUGCCAUAAAAAUGCAACCUAUACAGGUCCAUUACCACAGGUUUAGAAUGGCUGAUAGAGAAAAUUACUCAGAGCCUGCAAAAACUGUAUUAUGAUAAUGCUUUGUGAAAGCAUGCUACAAGCUCUAUUUCUCUUGCCUUGGUGCGAUAGACUGGAUAGCCAGAGACGGGCAACUGGGCCUCACACGGGAUGCCAACCUCCACCUAAGACAGGAACUGGGCCUCUCGCUGCCCUGCCUUCCAAUGACGGGUAAGGCUAGGUUGGCCCCCCUGUGGAAGCACCCUGACCCAAGACAGGCACAGUCUCCUCAAGGAUGCAGCCUCUUAUAUUUUAAAGGGGAACCUGUGGGGAGCCCUGUAAUUGGCUGCCACCUUAACAUCUGCAGGCUGUACCACCUUAAUGCUCUCUAGGAGUUAAGUUUGGUAAUUAAGCAGCAUCUUGCAUAACUUGUUUAGCCUGUCCAAUUAUUCAGGGAUUAUGCUUAUUGAGCCCCUGUGCAGGGAAAUUCGAACUGACCUAUGAACCUCCAUCUUGCCACUGUUGCUAAGUUACCUGCUGAUGUCUCAGCACCCAAAUCCCUUGUCCCCAAUGCCCUAUAUAUUUGAUACUCAUUCCUUGAAUAAGGAGAGACUUGAUUGGAAUUCCUCAACUUGUCUCCACUCUUUGUGUCUCUUGCUCCCUUUUCAUCCCCACUCCCCCUCUAGGGUCUCCGUGGAUUUACCCACAGGCUGGGUCAGUUGCUGGCAAAAAACAUUUUAAGAGGAAGUGAAGGGAAAUAGAAAAGAAGAAUUGAGAUAUGUUGUAUAUGUGUAUUAAUGCCCCCCAAUGAAUGUAAUCAUUAAGUUCUUGCAAACACAUAGUAAUAAAAAUUAAAAAUUACAAAAUAUUUUUUAAAAAGCCAGGCAGGGUAACACAGGCCUUAAUGCCAGCGUUUGAAAGCUGAGGCAAGAGGGUCGCCAUGAGCAAGGCCAGCAUAGGUUAUAUAGUGCGUUCCUGGCCAGUUUGACCUGCAUAACCAGAUCCCAUCACAACUCAGCCACUGCAGCGUAGGAGCUCGCAACACACGCGUGCACGCGCACACACACACACACACACACACACACACACACACACACACGUUCUCAGAUUGUUAGCAGAUAGGCGGCAGAGGCUGCUCUCUUGGUACCACAAACUACCACUGUGAAUCCUGGCGAAGCCGGCUGCCCUAAGCUGCUGCAGUUUGGGGCCUUAGGGUCUGGAUGGGAUGGAGGAUCUGGGCUGCUGGGCAUGUUAAAGUUUAGCCCUGGCAUGACCCACUCUGCUGCCCACCACUGCCGCGUCGCCCCAGUGCCACCCCCUCCCGUCCCCACAGCGCAGUGGCACGCGCGGUAAACCAGAACCUCCAGGAGGGCGACUCAGGCUGAAAGCUCACUGCUGUGGUGGCAUCCCCGGAGGCGGGGACAUGUAGAUGUUACGUGUUGGCUGCCAGUUGCAGCCCACGGUUCCUGCAGCCGGGUUUCCCAGGUGUGCGGAGGUUGCGGUGGGAAGCAGGGUGUGUCGUGCGGGGAAAGGCGUGGAGGAGGUGGGAGGGUAGUGACCGUGAGUAGUUGGGGAGUGUGCGAGGAGGGUGAGUUGUGGCGCAAGAUGAAAUCUGUGACAUGGCUGCCAGAAUGAUUGGUUAAACAAAUAGAUCAACUUACACUUACCUGGUAGGGUAGAUAUAGUGAUCAUGAGUCUUGUUUUCCCUGAGGUAGGCCUAUCCAUUGCACUCUGUAUGUGCCGAUCCCUACAUUUUGCCCAAAUUUGGGAAACUCAACUGCAUAAUUUGUGGUAGUAGGGAACUGAGUUCAUGCUUUCCCCUAGCUUAACCUUUCUAGGAAAGGGUUCAGGUUUGUUGUAUGCUCAGAGAGCUAGUGGUGUUUGUGUUUGUGCACAUCAGGCGAUUGUGAGUUUGCUGUUGUAUUAAAGUGAAAGUGUUGUACUUACGGUAGUAAACUCACUAACUUGAGGUUAUGGUUUUCUCUUGAGUUUUGAGGGUGCAGUGUGGUUGGGGUCAGUAGUAAGACAUUAACUUCAAUGGAGAAAAAGUAGAGGCUUGUCAUACUGUAUACUUAUAAACUGGGUAUUUUGGGGAUACAUUGUAUGUAUUACACAUGAUGUGAUGGAGGUAUCUGGGUGGUGUUAUAUACAUCUCACACCAAGACAGCUGCAAGGCUGGGCUCUGGGCUCCCCAAGGUCAUCUUGAAAUGAAGUAAGGGAAAGGAGAGCUUCACAGCAAUCCAGAACUCAAGGGGCCUUGUAUAAUCCCAGCCUCCCUUGGAACCUAAUCUUAACAUUAAAUGUGCGGUUUACACUACUGUGCUCCACAAGCAUUUUGGAUCAGAAAUAUUUUUUUUUAGAUAGUGUGUCAUUAUGUAGUUUAUGCAGGUCUAGACUCAGUGUGGUAGCGUAGGCUGGCCUUGAACUCACUCGUGCCUCAGCUUCCCGAGGUGGGAUUACAGGUGUGUGCCACCACAUCCAGCUUAGAUCUCUUUUUAAACUCUCAGAAAAACCAACAGCAGAAGGAACAUUGGUUCCCGAUACCCAGCACCCCGAUUCCCAUCAAGUGCCACUGGGGAACCAGACAGAAAAUAGCUCCCUGUGCAGGUUGAGGGUUCACUGUGAGUUGCAAAGAAACAUAAAUUUCUUUUGUUUACAAAAAGCACCUCCUGGGCCAGGGAUUUAACUCAGUGUAUAAGCUCCUGCGUGGCAAGCAGGAGGAUGAGAGUUCGGUCCCCGCUACCAAAAAAACAAGUGCCACCUAUCAUUAGAGAUCACAUGGACUCUCAUCCUUCCCUUUUGACAUGAAAAUAAGUCUCUGAAGCAAAAAGUAAAAGUAGUAGGUUAGUUUGUUUUGUUUUCUUUUUAGUAUAUUGUUUUAUAGCUCAGAAAUGACUGCAAGGCUUUGAGCAUCUUUUGGCCAAAGUUUGGAAUCAGCUCACUAUCUGAUUAGUUCUAAGUUAUUUUCUAGGCUUGCUCUUAGGUUGACUGGCGCAGCCCCCCAAUGAGACAGAGGACGCUCUUGUUGGUAACAGGUAACUGCCGCUUUAUUGAGGCGGGUUCUGGCUUAUAUAUCUGACUGUGGCCAAUCACAAGCUGCCUAUCUGACUGUGGCCAAUCACAAGCUGCCACGGAGUAAACAUCACUAGUUGCCGCAGAGAAGUUUAUUUGGAGAGGGACAUAACGCAUUGCGGAAGCUGACGUGGCUCUUGGUCCUGGGCGAAGUAUGUUGAGCGCCUGUGCCCGACAUUAGGUCAGGAAACAAACCAGUAAAAUUGAUUCAGAAAGCUCUUUUAAAAAUUACUGUGCUUAGUGUUUGCAGAGCGAAGCCUCAGAAAAGUACACAGACAGUGUAGUGACAGGUCCCCCACUGGUGUGGCAGGCCCACUUGCAGCUUCGGAGACAUCAUGGGUUGACACAACGACCUCAGGGCAGAACCUGCCAGGACAAAACAGAGCUCAGCCUACAGCUACACAGCUGACCGCAAGCAGGGUAGGAGCCUCAUGCUCCUCAAUCACUUUUUCUGAGGUUAUGUUAUUAUAUUCUUCCCAGUUUUUGAUUCCUGUUCCUUGAAAGUCAGUUGUAGGAUGUGAGAAAGAGAAAACAUGCAUUUUAUAAAGAAAUUUACUUUUACAAUCAUGACAUAACUUUACUUUUGUUAUACUCCUUAAUGCAAUCACGGUAAAAGAAAAAUAAUAGAGCCUGAGGUCAAAUGAUUGUUGUUUCUAUUAUAAACUCUUACUCUUGCACCCAGCAGUCACCAGUAGGGUCAGGGGUCAUGGGCUUCACCCACAGUGAUGCAGCCUGUAAGCCGUGGCACCUCCAGUCCAGGGAGCCAGAGUUCCAACAGCUCUCACAGCAAGCAAUGAGACAAUGGAGGCUGGGAGUAUUAACAAACAAGUUUUUGUUAGCUAUUACUACAAAGGAUGUCAGCGGGGCAGGAGGUGAUAAGGGGUGAUCUUUGAAUAAACAUCUUUAAGUAACAGUCUUUUCGACCAGGAUGGGGCAGGAGGGUUAAAGCUUAUAAAUAUCAUGGCUCUGGUGUUCAGCUGAUACACUAAACAACAGUCAUGGAAAUACAUAUUCUUACAGCAUCUCCACAGGAAAUAGUCAUUUUUAUGACAUUCUGAAUAAUUUUACACUUACCUGUGCUAUAUUAACUAAAACACAGGGAUCAUUAUUGCACAUUUCAAAGAUAGAAGGUCACUUGAGCUUAAGAGGCAAUUUUUAGAGAGGAAGAUGAGACUUCUGAAAUGUAUGGCUUAAAAGUUUGCACUGCUCAAGGCAGUUUAGUACUAAAAACUUUUUAGAUGAACUGGGCCUCCAAAACCAAUAAAAACCUUGGCCCUCUGAGUAGUGGGGACAUUAUGUGCUCUGCCUCAAGAAUGUGGGCAGGUUCAUGGCUGCUUCGUGGCGAGGCUGGGGCCUCUCUGGGCUCCGAGAGCAGGGGCUCCCCUGUGGCUGGCGGUGGUGGGUAGUCCUGGGGCCCGGCAGGCAGUGGUGGCAUUCGAGGAGCAGGAAUGAAAUACUCUCAGGGCCAAGUGGGCCUGGAGGCCUGAAUGGCACAGGUCCCAGCAAGAACUGGCGGGGGUGCAGCAGCAGGUCAUGGCAUCCUGGCUGGAUGCCGGGCGCGUAUUCUCUUAAGCCCAGUGGUGGGCCCAUGUAAGGGUCUGGAAAGCAAGAGGGAUACGUGGACACGUCCUGAGGAGCAGCCCAAGUCUGCUCAAAGCGUUUCCCUUCCCCUGAGCCAGGAAGCCAAGUGAUGCACUGGACUUCACAGAUAAGAAAAACUGAGGCUCAGUAUGGCUCAACCACAGCCUGACCCUCCCUUCUCCCAAUGCCACAGGCCCGUGGUGGCCUGGGUGACCACCCCGGUGGAACUGGCACUUCGGCUCUGUGGGAAGGGCCCUUCUGGUCCAAGCAGCUGUGGAGGCUGUACUGGGCUCAGAGUGCUGGGCCUCGUCUGCGGAGGCUGAGGCUGAGGCUGCUUUAGGUCUCAGGCUGUGGAGGAGGAAAACAGGGACCCGGAAGACUGAGCCCGCACUCGGCAGCCAUGCAGCACAGGGAACCAGCAACACACGGACCUGCCUAGCUUGGGAGCAGCCCCUGGUGGCCCGGAGCCACCACCGCCGGUCCUCCUCCCCGCCCCCCAGUUCUGUCAGAUGGUUCCCUGACUGGGAACAGCAGGCGAGAGAUUCCUGGGGCUGGUUCCCAGUUUUGAGUCCCCUGCUGUUCAGGACUGACCGAACUGCAUCCUGCAUUAAUUCCUCACUUCUAUACUCAGGAACUGUAAGCUUGGCUGCUGGUUCGCAAACAAUACCCACCAAUUUACCACAGGUGAGCCACUCCCUGGAGACAGCCACUGGGCCAGGCUCAGGUGGAUUUUCUCCCCUCUUUGCGUGGGUUCGUGACACUUUCAUGUCUUUUAGACAGCCCAAACUAAGGCCUUUCUGGGCAAGCUGAUGUCCACUCUGGACAGCCCGCACUGAGAGGCCCUCACAUUUUUCCAGAGCUUUUUAAGUUCUCACGGGCAGACAGCCCAAACUAGGGGCUUUCUGGGCAAGCCUGUGUCCGUUCUUGGACUACCCACACUGAGAGAACCUCACUUUAGAGCUUUUUAAGUUCUCACAGCAGAGUGGUUACUCAGCCCAUGCAAAGUCCACUCUUAAUAUUGGUGAUGGCCAAUUAUGAAGCGUUUGGAGCCAUAUAGCCAACCCGUAGGUCUGGGGUGCAGUGUGACGACUCUAAUCCUGACAGACCACGGUCCGUUGCCUUAUCUGAUUGUAGCCCCAUGGGCUAGACCCCACAGCAGAUUUUAUCUUGGGGACCACUUCCUGACCCCCCCCCCAGAAACCAUACCUAUUUAUGGCUUAUCACACUGUCGACAAGCUUACAAAACUAUCUUUGUUUUGGGAAUGUGCCCUUUCCCUUCCCACCAGCGUGCCUGUCCCUUUGUCUCCUCCAGGAUCCCUCCCCCUCCCCGCACUUAAAGAGAUAACAGCAUCUUCCCUUGCAGCCUCUCGGAGUUUUCUCAGUGCCUCCUUUCCUCCCGGCUUCCCCUCCCCCCCACCAUGCUGCCAGUGUCUCUUUGUUUCCCAUGAGCGCUUCCCCUCCCCCCCCCUGCGCUGCCAGCGUCCCUUUGUUUCCCAUGCAUGCCAACUCAUCCCCCGCCACUGAGAUUAAAAAUGAGACCAAGCAAUGUUGAGAUACAUGUAAGAUUUUAAACAGCUUUUUGGCUCUUACACCACGCUCCAAUUCUGUGCAGUAUCUCCACUCUCAUGCAGCACUUCAGGUCCACACGGGGUUGAUGUUUCUGUGCACCCCACAAACAAUUUCAGCUCCAUGUGGCAACUCAGCUCCACAUCCAACCUGUUCCCCACUGCUCCGGCCUAUUCGUGCCGGUGCCGGCCCUUUCUGCUGUUGAGAGAUACAUGCGGGACUGCUUUUCAAACAGUUUUAGGCUCUCGCAUGCUUUUAGCACUGCGUCCUGGGCCACGUGUCCCGCGAGCGGCUCCCGCCAGCAGCUCCUGCGGGUGGCCAUUCAUCGGCUGGCGGCCGCACACCUCUGAGAGCAGAGCCACACUUGGCUAAGGGCUGUGGCGCAUCUCCCAGCCCCACCACCACUGCUGCCACCCCACCCCACCGCCUUAGCCCUUUGCGCUGUGCUCUGCUGGCUCCAUUGCCAGUGGGCCAGCCCCUGAGCCCUGAGCUCAGCACUGCAGCCACUGUGAGUCCACCCGCCAUUGCAGCUGACACCACACACACACCUACCCCCGCCAUUGUAGCUAAAAUGCGUAUUUCCCUGCACCGUCCCAGUGCCAUCGUCACCAUUUCCGGGUGUGAUCUCAGCCCACCCCUGCACACUGUGUCCCAGCGCUCACCCCACCCACUCUGUGUAUUCCAUCUCAGCCCGCCCCUGCGCACUGUGUCACGACACUCACCCCACUCUUCAUGUUCCAUCUAUGCGCUGCAUGCCCAAUAACCUCAGCCCUGCCCCAAGCAUGACUAUGCUCUCUCUACAGGCAAACUCUGUCUGCCUCAGAGUUCCAAACUGCCUUAGACACUGCGCGUUUACAACAUCUCGCGGCAUGCGUUUACAACAUCUCGCGGCUCUGCUCAAACAUAUUUUUUUUUUACAAUUCAGUUCCACUCAAGAGAGGCUAUUUUUCUUACAAUUUUCUACCAUUUAUUCAAGGUUGGUGGCCACCUGGUAAUUUUACCAGCCUUGUUUAUCAAUUAAAGUCUACACUAAUCUCCUGUUUUAACCACUAAAAUUAAGAGAGAUUUAUCAAUUCCUUUUUGCUGGAAACCACUAGCUCUGUUCCAAGACAAGGCUUUUGUUAAAAAUUCUAAUGUUGUCCACCACCAGUAAUGUUCUCUGUUAAAUUUAUUGCUUCUACUCUACUGUGUUGUCACCAAUCUCCUGUUUAACAACUAGGUUAUAAUAACUUGAGAGUAUAUAAAAAGUUAUAUGAGGCUCAAAAAGAUAUAAUUUUUAAAAGCUUCAAAAGCUGGUAACUUGAGAGUAUAUACUAAGUUAAUACAUUUAUUCAUAGGAUUGGUAAACCUUUACUGCAAAAUGUUUCCAUUAAAGCCUUUUUUGUUAAUUCCACGUGGCACCCUAUAAAAAGAGUUAUAACAUCCAGAUAGAGCCUGCUUUCUAAUCUAAAAUGCCAAUAUUAAGCUCCUACAUACUUAAAUUCUACAGAUACCUUUUACUGUAGUCCAGAUCUCAAGCAACAAGACAAAACUUGACCUUCAAGCUCCACAGAGACCUUGAUAUGGUUUUUCAUAUUUUAAAUAACACUUGCAGUUCUGAGACAGACAAAUCUACACAAGGUAGAGCUACCUGACCCCCCCCCCAUAGAACAUGCUCAAAUGUAGCAGAAGACAUUGGGCAAAACAAUGCCCCAUCCUGGCAUUCUCUAAGACCUUACUCCAGGGCUGCUGGGCUGUCUGGCCACCAGAGAGUGGGUGAGCCAUCCGAACUUCUAGCCCUCACAGUACACUGCCAGAUUCGUCACUGACAAAAAUUGCUGCCAAAGACUGAGAGGGGCUAAGGGCCAAAACAUCCCGCCUUUGUGGGUGUCUGUCUCAGAGUCCAAGUCACAUUAAAACUCUCAAGGUAAGACAUUCCCUAUAUUUGUGGACAUAGAGGCCAUAUAUACAGAGUUCUUACUGAGUUUUCAAGCUACUAUAAUAAAUCCUCAAUGUCUGAUGGAGUAUUAAAGGUCAACGUAUGUCAUUUACAAACAGGGCCUAUUUUGUGCAGGUCCCAGUCCUAAAUCUUAAAAAUGCUUUUAUUCCCUUUUAUACAGGCUGACAGAUACAUUUUGUCUUCUCACUUUGUUUAUACUUUGGUAACCUCAACAGCAAUCAAAGUUGCUAGACAGCCAUCCUGGUUUCACAUCACUCAGGCCCUAGAUCUGACCAUCCUUUUCAUACUCAUCUCUGUCUCACCAAGGCCUCACGGCCAUGACUCACAGGUUGUCAUGUUUUGUUAUCCACUUUGGUUCCUAAUUUCUUAUGUUCUGUUAAUGAUCAUUUCUAUAGCAGGACUCUUUAACAGUAUUGCCUACAACAUCAUAUAUACCAGAGACAAGCCUUACCAACCUACCUUUUAAAUGUUAUGCUUUCAGAAGGGGGAGUAAGCACCUCUCAUAACUUUACUCCUCCUAAUCCCAUGUUUAAUUUUCAGAAUUCUGCCUUCACAUCCAUAACUUCACUCCUCCUAAUCCCAUGUUUAAUUUUCAGAAUUUUGCCUUACUGUGGAAAUGAUCCUACCUCAACGUUGUCCUGAUAAAAUGAUGUGUCUAAAUCUAAUACACCUUUCCCUCUACCUCACUUGGGUCCUUAAAUAUGACAGUGCCAUGUCUUCUCAUAACAUCUUGUCUUUUUGUUUUUUUCAGUCUAACAUACGUACAUUCACCAGUGAAGUUGUCCUGGCUAAAACACCUGGCACCAGCUUCUACCUGGGCAUCAACUGUCAUCCCGUCAACUCCCCUAGACUCCAGUACAGCGCCCUCAGCCAGCAGGAAGUAGUUAAAGAGAGAAAUCUUCGCCCCUUUUCAUAAUAAUCGUAAGAUGGGAUAUGAAAGGGUUUUGGCCCAGGCCGGAUACUGUAGCCAGUAAAGCGAGGAAGCUCCAAUCUCCCCCGACCCUUAGGAAUUACCUCUGGUGCCAAACUAAGACCGAUAGGCUACCUGUGCAUCCCUAAUGCCCCCUUAGGUUCCACCCCAGGCUGAGAUUACUUAUGUGCCUCACUCCACGUGUUCCACAGAGAGAUCGCCAGCCCCGGGGGUGGAGAUGCCACACCCCAGGGGGUCGGGGUUGUCUCUCCCCGCAUUCCCAAAAUAAAGGUUAUUUAUAUUUUAUACUUAGCUUUUCAGCCACCGCCGGUCCUCCUCCUUCCCCCCCCCCACAGUUCUAUCACUAUGUCUGAUGAUAUAGCCACUUCUAUUGGAGAUAACAAGAGACAAAACAGAAACUAUGGUAGAAUGAUUUGUACAAUGGUCCUAUUUUUUUUGUUUCAUGUGUAUAUAGAUAUUAAAAGUAACAAUACGCAUUAAUGCCUGCUUCUGUUUUUAGAUUAUAAUCCCAAAAAGAGAAGGAUGUUUACCUUGUGUUUAAUUGUUUGAUGAGAAUUUUUUCCCUUGGUCUCCAGAAUAAGCUUCUUCGAUUCUGCGAUCUGUGUAAAAAACACAUUCAGAACUAAGUAACAGAAGUCACUCUGCUUCUAAAACAAACCUUGUUCCAAGGAAGCGAGCAGAGCAUUUGCUUUAUAAAUGAUGGUGCGUAAGAUCUGGAGGGCUCAGGGGAAAUAAUGAAGCGAGAACACAGGCCUUCAAAAUACCAUAAUAACUGAGCUACACCACAGACACGCUAGAGGAGGGGCCGUGAAACAGGUUCUACCUUCUGUUGAUAACUUGACACUUUUUGGACAAUUCUGCAUUGUCCUUUGUGGUAUUUUUCACCUUCUCAGCUAUCUGCUGUUCAGUGACUAAAAAGAGAAAAAAGCCAGUAUUAAGAGCACUAAAUGGAGCUGAGCUGCACAGUGUCUCAGCAGCAAGGACUCGUGUGAGGCUCCGUGAGAGGCUUCAUGUGAGGCUUCACACAGCUACCUGCCUUUCCAGAGAGACCCGCAACUAACAGCAACAGUGCACAGGACACUGUUAAACUUUAAGAAAACUAUAGUAACACUUGUUUUGACGAGGUAGCAAUUUACUGCAAAGGCAGGAGAUACAGUGAAAUGUUACAUAGUUGGAAAGGCUCCCUUCACAAAAGGCACUUGUUCUCUGAAAACGGAAUCACUUCAAAUGAAUGUCAUUUGCAAAGAGAAAUAGCAACUUCAAGCUACUGAUCUACACCACUGUCUCUCGAGCUCCUGUGCUGAUAAACCUAUAGGGGCCGAGGUGUCCCUAGCACAGACACACUGUCCUCUCUCCACACCUGUGUGGUCCAGCCACGCUCAGUCUGCUCCAUGUAAGCAGACACCCCCUGCCCCCACAUCUCCUAUCUCAGGCAGUACCAUCAUCCUCUCCACUAUACCAUGGUUAGUAGCAACAGUAAAAUGUGGAGCAGUUAGUAAGUCAAAUCAGACACCAUGGGAGAACAUGGCGGACAAAUAACAGCAGCCAUAGAGGCUCUCUGAGAUUACCAGUUUAGAAUCCAGGAGCGGUGCCAUGUGAGGAGUCCUACGUGAGGGGAGAUGUACCCUGCCGACCUAUGAACAAGCUAAGUUGAGAGAAACCAACUGGAAAUGCAGUCCUGAUGCUAUAACAGGAACAGAUAAAAUCUCAGUGCGGAAGCUGGAUCCCGUGCCGUUGGAAGCCGUGAUUUGAAUUUCCUGCUGCCGAUACUGCACGGCAGGGAGAGAGACAUGCGAAAGCUCUGAGAGCUGGAAUCGGCAAACCAAACAGCAUUGAGAGCGGGACUGGCAGGGAGCCCUGCAUCAACCUGUGGUGAGUGAGAGAAAUAGGGACCCUUUCAUAGACUAGGAGGCUCCAACAGAGGACAUUCUGGGAAUGAGCAGACUAGCCGGAACAGGGCCCUGCAGUGACUUUAUUCGCUUAUUCCCCUCUCAAGCAGGAGUGGUGGGGAGCACUUGGCCUGGUGACGCCGCGGACUAAGAUCCAGUAGGCUAGCCCAAAUCAGGUCCCUGCACCAGGUGGUGCACCCUCACAGUGAAGCAUUCAGUAGGUUGACCUGGAGGGGUGGGCCAAGCAGAGGCUGCCCAGGUCUGUGUCUCCCUAGUACACUGCAGUGGUGGGAAACACCUAGCCAGCGGAUUCAAACAAACUGUAACAGACAAAGAGAAAAAAAAAAAAAAACUGGGCCUCCUACAGAUGCCUGUAUGGAAAAAGUAUGGGAAAAGGGAGCAACAAGAAAGGGUCCUCAGGCCCCAAUCCUGAGAACCCUGAUCCAGGAAAGGUAAAUGCAAAAGAGAAUGAAGACAGAAAACAUGCAAUAUCAGACACGGCACCUAUAGACAUAAAGCAGUAUCUCUGGAACCUCAUAGAUGAGUUCAAAAAUGAAGUAUUUAAUGAGAUAAAGCAAGAAAUAAGUAGAAUAGUUAGAGAAAUGCUAAGCACCACCCAAGAAAAAACAGAUGGUUGAAUGGAACAGAAAAAAAGGGGAGAAUUGUUUGAUGGAGAAAAUAGAGAAAACAUAGAAUAUGUGAAGCAGGUUCAAAGAGAUUACCAGGAAACUAAAAACUCUAUUGAAAGCUGGCAUAACAGCUUGAAAGAAACUAAGGAUAGAUUAUCAGAACUGGAGGACAGAUUUGUAAUGUGGGAGCCUGAAAUGAAAAACUUCUUAAAAAUAACAAGAAAAAGCAAAAAUACAAAGGCUAGAAGAUGAUAAGAGGAUCUAUAACUUAAGAAUUAAGAACAUAAAAGAAGAAGUAAGGACUCAAACAAAUGAACUACAAAAGCUAUUCACAGAAAUAAUCCAGGAGAAUUUCCCUAAUUUAGCAAAAGGUAAAGAUACUCAUAUGUAUGGGGCAUACAGGACCCCAGCCACCUAAAACCCAAACAGAGCUACAUCCAGGCAUAUAAUAAUCAAAAUUCUAGAAAUCCAAUAUAAGAACAGUAUAUUAAAAGCCAUCAAAGACAAGAAACAGAUCACUUACAAGGGAACACCCAUCAGAAUUACAGCAGACUUCUCGGCACCAACCAUCAAAUCACAAAGAGUGUGGGGGGAAAUAAUUCAAGCUUUGAAAGUUAAUAAUCUCCAGCCAAGAUUGAUAUAUCCUACACAACUGUCCCUAGAAAUUGAUGGAAAAACAAGGUGCUUCCAGGAUAAAGAGGAACUAGGGGAAUUUGCAACCACCAAUUCAACUCUACAGAGAUUACUGCAGGAUAUUCUAAAAAUAAAAAAUACCAAAAUUCCAGGAACAGUGGCAGAGAGGCCACAAUGAAUGGAGCAGAAAGCGAAAUGAAGAGGACAAACUGACAACUAAUGACAGAAAAAGAGCUCAACAGAAAUGAGGCAGAGAAGGUUGGAGAAAACCAACCUUGCCAUUUGGAGAAAACAAGACAUCAUAAUAGGUAGUGCUGAUUUAAUAUCCUCUUGUUUUGAAGUCUCAUCAAGCUUUUGUUCUUCUGUCUCCAUCCGUUUGAAUGUGUUGUAUCUUAUUGGAUUUUAUUAUAUGUGAUAAUAUAAACAAAAGCUUUUAUAGACAAGGAGAUUAUACAGAAACCAUUGUUCAUUUUCUGUUAGUUGAUUCUAAAUACCCUGUAAUACUGUCAUUCUCUUGAACGGUUUUACAUUGUCUUGAUAUGUUUGAUGCUACAGUAUACGAAGUUAUACCCAAAGGUUUUAAAGGAAGAGACACUAUGGUAACUACUAUUAUGUCGAGAUUAUCUUGUGGUGAAACACUAUUUUGCUUAGAUGGCUAUGUUUUGACCUGCCCUGUUUUGUUGUUAUGCCCUCUUUUUUAUCUCAAUCUCCUUUUUAUUAUCCACUUUUUCAUUUUUAUCCUUUUAAUUAAGGGCAAAAAUAAAUAAGAAAUAGCAGGAUAUAUUAUAGUAACCCACUUUGAUUUACUAUUAACUUGAUUUGAAACUCUGUAUUGCUCUCACCAUCUUGUUUUGACUGAUUUUCCUCUAUUCUGUUAUGCUUGAUAGUACCAAGCAUACUGAAAGUAUAGGCAACAACUAUGAAGACAAUAAGAUUCAUUGUGACAUCCAUUCUGGUUGACUAUUACCUUCUUUUGAAGUCCUCUAAUGUCUCCAAUGUUUUGGUUUUAUUGGUCUUAUUCUUUACUGUUUUGUUCAAUUUUAUUAUAACUGAUGAUAUAGGCAAUUCUUUUUAAGAUAACAAGAGGCAUUAUGGUAACCAUUGUUGAUCACCUUGUAUUUUGUUUUUACAUUAUGUAUUAUGUCCAUCCUUUUGAUUUGAAUGACUCUGUCCUGGUAUGUCACAUUUGAUUUUACUUUCUUCAAAAAAAAAAAAGUAAUAAGAACUGUGGGAGCAAUAAAACCCAAAAUGUGUAAGUGUCAUUGUACAACAGAAAGGAAAAGAAAGUUCUCUAAAAGAUAUAACUGCAUAUAUAUUUAAGUGUAUAAGAUAGAUAACCAUAUUACUGAGUUUUUUUGGAUCAUUGAUCAAAACUGUUUGCAGUCUCACUGUUUGAAAAUCCCCUCUAUAAGCUUUAAUUUUGUAACUUCAACAACUAUUUCUAAGAUGACAAUAUGUAAUUAACUAGUGAUUUCCUACUGUUUAUUUUUUCUGAAAUUCUGUAUAACUUGUACCCUUUUUCUGUUUUUUUUUUUUUCUUUUUUCGCCUUAAAUAAAUUUUUUUAAAAAAUCA